GAUGAAGAAGCAGCGAAAUGCGAUAAGUAGUGUGAAUUGCAGAAUUCAGUGAAUCAUCGAAUCUUUGAACGCACAUUGCGCCCCUUGGUAUUCCAUGGGGCAUGCCUGUUCGAGCGUCAUUUGUACCUUCAAGCUUUGCUUGGUGUUGGGUGUUUGUCUCGCCUUUGCGUGUAGACUCGCCUUAAAAUAAUUGGCAGCCGGCGUAUUGAUUUCGGAGCGCAGUACAUCUCGCGCUUUGCACUCAUAACGACAGCGUCCAAAAGUACAUUUUACACUCUUGACCUCGGAUUAGGUAGGGAUACCCGCUGAACUUAAGCAUAUCAAUAAGCGGAGGA
rnacentral:misc_RNA from 1 species